UCAUUUUUAUUAUAAGAUCAUUUAUUUUAUAAAAUAAUCUAAUCUAUUAACAAUUUUGAUGAUUUUUAUGUUUUAAAUUUUACUUCCUUGUAUUCAUAUAAAUUGUUUACGCGUUCAAAAUUUACAAAAUUUUAUUCUUAGUACUUGUUAUGUAAUAUAUUUGUCAUUAGUAAUUUUAAUAUAUUACUUUGUUAAAUUCUUAAAUAUAACCUAUGAAAAAUACAAAAAUAUAUUCUACACAAAUGGGUCUUGUGGGUUAAAGUUGGGUUUGCAUAAAUUAAAUAAACACGGCCCAAUAAACUAAUAUUUGACUUUGUGAUCGUUCCUUUGAAAAUUGAAACACGGCAAAAAAAACAGAAAGAAACUUUUUUUUUUAAUUUCUUGAAUUUUUUUUCUGGAACUCUCCUGACGGUUCCAUUCAAAAGAGAAACCUAGUUUUUCAGAUCGGUACAUGCAGAAACCAAGAGGACGAUCUGGUUGAACAGGAAAAUAUUUUGAUGCACGAUUUUGAUUCAUGAUACUAUACUCUGAAACAUAUAGGAGUGGGGAAGGUCAACCACUUAUCACGCUGAACUCCAGUUGUUGUUGUUGUUUUCCAUUGGCAUAACCUCCUUACCUUGAAUCAUUGAGUCAGGAAAUUCCUGUGUGUUUCACCAUGCACCCACCGGAAGUAGCCUCCUUUUACUCUCAAUGUAAUUGGUUUGGAAAUAAUCGAGAGAAAGAUCAAAGUAUAUUAAAUAGUGCUUUAGUGUAAUUAGUGGUGACGUUUUUUCAAAAAAAAUAGCAAAAAAAAUGUAGUGGCAUUCCAAUGUAAUUAACUUGAAAAAUCAAUGGCAGAAUCCUAUUAGGGAUUCUGCUUUAAUA